ACUAAUACAUGUGCUAGUCUAAUAUUCAUGUGUGUCCUCACAUGAACUCCGACUAGGGACAACUUUAGAAUAACCAUACAAGUAAAGAGUUUCACAUACAAUUCACAUAAUUGCAAAUCAAUUCAAGUAGCCUUUAAUGGAUAUUCAAUGAACACAAUAUACAAAUCAUGGAUACAAAUGGAAUAUCAUCAUCUCUAUGAUUGCCUCUAGGGCAUACCUCCAACAACUACCCCUUCCUGUACAUAUUUUUACUAAGCAUUAUUAAUCUCUUUGUUUCUAUGUAUUGCACUCUGUUUUAUGAAAAUACUGAAAUAUCCUACGUAAGCGGGGUUUGUACAAGAUGGCUUCACAAUCAUAUGAGUAAAUGAAUAUUUUUUUUGUAUAUCACGACAUUACUCUUAAUUCCAGAUCUAAUUUACCACAGUAGAACUUGGUUGACUCACCUAUUAUUU
rnacentral:lncRNA from 1 species